CCUAUGGCGACGCGGAGGGACAUUAAAGAGUUCUAUAACUCCCAAACCCCUGUGUACAUACCUCUUGUUGCCUCGGCAGGUCACGCCUGCGCAGUAGCGCCCUACCCUGUAGGACCUACCCGGUAGACACACCAGCCUCGGUUCCACUAGGGGAUAAUGCUUUACGAACGUAUCCUCCUAUGCGAGUGCUACAACUGACUGCAUAAUCCCCUUGUGAGGAGAAAAGCUUUAAGACCGUACCUCCUAUGCGAGUGUUACAACUUUACUGCAUAAUACCCUUGCGGGGACCGAGGACGCCUGCCCAGUAGUGCUACUCGAUAGACACCAGCAUCGGUUUCUAUAGGGGAUAAAAGCUUUAUAAAAGUACCCUCCUAUGCGAGCGUUACAGCCUUACUGCAUAAUAAUACCCUUGCAGGGAACGAUGACCUGCCGGCGGCCCACGAAACUCUGUUUAUUAUUGAAUUCUGACAGUAUAACUAAAUAAGUUAAAACUUUCAACAACGGAUCUCUUGGUUCUGGCAUCGAUGAAGAACGCAGCGAAAUGCGAUAAGUAAUGUGAAUUGCAGAAUUCAGUGAAUCAUCGAAUCUUUGAACGCACAUUGCGCCCAUUAGUAUUCUAGUGGGCAUGCCUGUUCGAGCGUCAUUUCAACCCUUAAGCCUCUGUUGCUUAGUGUUGGGGGCCUACAGCACUGUAGCCCCUCAAAGUUAGUGGCGGAGUCGGUUCACACUCUAGACGUAGUAGAUUUUAUCUCGCCUAUUAGUUGGACCGGUCCCCUGCCGUAAAACCCCUAAUUUUUAAAGGUUGACCUCGGAUCAGGUAGGAAUACCCGCUGAACUUAAGCUU
rnacentral:rRNA from 1 species